CAUCCCAAACUAUGUUUUGAGAAGUUACUUAAAACAAAGAAAUCAACGUGUUUUGAAGAGGGUAGUUUUAUUGACACUGGAAAAAAAAAUGGAUUGGCAUGUUGCAAAAAAACAUUAAAGGUAGCAUUCAGUAUCGUUAUACAGAGCAAUACUCCUCAAGAAUUUAAUAAUCCAACAAUAUAAACUGGGCGCCACACAAAUCUCUAUCCAAAUCUCCCAGAACACCAGCGCCGAUCACAAAGCAGAGCUGUAUUCUGGAAACAGCCUUUGGCUGUGCUUCCGCUCACAAUUCACCUUUGCAAGUGGAACAAGCGCUGUUACAAGCGUUUACGAGAAGAGAAAAACGUGGCGGUAUAAGUACCCAGCUCUCUGUCUUUCUUCGUGCGCUGGGACAAUCCGACAUGACGGAAUUAUUCAGAGAUUACAUAACUGGAUCUUUCCCAAAAAGGCUUCAUUCUGCGUCAAAAGGACAGGCUGUCAAAUUUUCUACUACUUUUCUUGAAGGAGCCUUCUUUUGGAUAGAGACAUCAAAUUGGCACUGCAGGUAUAAAAUAAAUGUCCAGUAUGAGGACUGAAGAAACUGUCCUCACAAGAAAUCAAGUAUGGAUUGGAACAUACACCAAUGAAAGCAAAAUGAAAAACAAGAAGAACCUUAGCAAGAGCAACAGAAAACAACCAAA